UAUGUCGUGUACAAGGACACUAAAACUAAAGAUCCAUUGAAUCUGAAGCCUAAGGAAAUGGAGAAGAACCUCCGGAGGUUCUUUUAUAACCAAAGGCAUACGGAGAAGAUACUCUUCCCUUACAAUAUGGGGUAAGUGUUGUGUUAUAUAAUGUCUUAGUUAAUCCAGCAUUAAGAUAUACAUAUAUAAGUUGACUCUAAACAAACGCAG
rnacentral:lncRNA from 1 species